rnacentral:rRNA from 1 species
UCGAGAAUAUUCGACAAUGGGCGAAAGCCUGAUCGAGCGACGCCGCGUGCAGGAUGAAGGCCCUCGGGUUGUAAACUGCGGUAGUAGGGGAGGAACGCAAGUGACUGUACCCUACGGAAAGUGGUUGGUAACUACGUGCCAGCACCAGCGGUAAUACGUAGACCACAAGCGUUAUCCGGAUUUAUUGGGCGUAAAGAGCAUGUAGGAGGUCCGGUGCGUCUCUGGUUAAAGCCCACCGCCUAACGGUGGAAGUGCCAGAGAUACGAUCGGACUGGAGGAUGUGAGAGGUGCAUGGAACUCACGGUGUAGGGGUGAAAUCCGUUGAUAUCGUGGGGAACACCAAAGGCGAAGGCAGUGCACUGGUACAUUCCUGACUCUGAGAUGCGAAAGCGUGGGGAGCAAAAAGGAUUAGAUACCCCGGUAGUCCCUGAGCGGGCUGGCAAGGCGCAU